CAAAUUUCUGCCCUAUCAACUUUCGAUGGUAGGAUAGUGGCCUACCAUGGUCUUAACGGGUAACGGGGAAUUAGGGUUCUAUUCCGGAGAGGGAGCCUGAGAAACGGCUACCACAUCCAAGGAAGGCAGCAGGCGCGCAAAUUACCCAAUCCCAAUACGGGGAGGUAGUGACAAUAAAUAUUAAUACGGGGCUCUUUUGGGUCUCGUAAUUGAAAUGAGUACAAUCUAAAUCCCUUAACGAGGAAACAAUUUGGAGAGCAAAGUCUGGUUGCCCAGCCAGCCGCGGGUAAUUCCAGCUCCCAAAUAGCGGUAUAUUUCACAGGUUGGUUGGCCGUUUAAAAAAGGCCUUCCGGUUAA
rnacentral:rRNA from 1 species